rnacentral:lncRNA from 1 species
GGUCAGUGACGUCAUCGUGUUUGUGUUUUAAUUUAAACAGAAAUAGAAGCUGAGCAGAGUGAGCAGAUUGAGAUUUCCCAGAUUGAGAGAUUCAUCAGGAUGGAGACCGUGAGAGAGCAGCGAGGAGGACCAGGACAUCCAGGAUCCGACAGCAGCGGGAAGACGACGGUUGGUCCAGGCCCAGUUCAGCGGUGCGCGGCUGCGUAUCUACUGGGUUCUCGGGCCUGUGCUAAACCGACUGAGGGUUUAUCCAUUAUGAUUGAGCCAAUGCCCCUACCAUCAAAAAGGCAGAAGAAGGUGCAGCAAUACCCUGCAGCCAGGAAGCCCCAGCGACACCUCAUGGCCCCCAGGACGCAGCCAGACCCGACCACCUCCUGUACCCAGCUGCCCCGGGACAAGUUGGUCCGUCUCUUCAGCACUCAGGAAAAGCCGAAUCCACCGAGUGCUGUGUGCCUUCCAUCUUGGAGGAAGCCGCAUUCUCACCUCAUGUCGUCCAGCACGACAUCAGAGCGAGAAGCAAUGAAGAGAGAGGCUCAGCGGCAGCGAGAAGAGGCGGCCAAGAUCACCCGUAAUGGGGUAGACUGCAGCGUACUGGCUGACCGCUGGCACUACCCCUACAUCUGGCCUAAUUAAUGAGUAAGUAAGUGACAGGUAAGUGAAGUAAUAUGUAUUAAGUUAGGUAGUAAUAGUUAGUAAGUAGUAUGUAGUAAGUUUUUGUAGUAAUAGUUAUUAAGUUAUAUGUAGUAGUUAGGUAAUAAGUUAUUUAGUAAUAUGUAGUAAGUUAGGUUAUAAUAUGUAUUAAGUUAUAUAGAGUAAGUUGGGUAAUUAGUAUAGACAGGACUUGAUGUAAUUGAUAUGAUGUGUUUACCUGUGUAGUUCUAGUGACACGGUAGUACAGUGCUUGGAGAUAUGAGCCAACCGUAGGCCAUUUAUCAAGAAAAGCUUACACAUCUACAUACAAACCUCACACAUACACCAUAUAUUCCUCACACAUCUACAUACAAACCUCACACAUACAACACGUUUACUUGAUAUAUGGCCUAGGGGGUGCCUCAUGGAGCUGCUGCCUUAUAGAAAGAAUCUGGGUUCUAGUCCUGGCCCGGGUUCUUUCUGUGUGGAGUUUGCAUGCGCUGCCCGUGUUCACGUGGGUUUUUCUCCGGGUACUCCGGUUUCCCACAAUCAAAGCAUUAUUUCAGAGAUUUUUUCUAAUAUCUAAUAAUAAUUUUUUUGAUUAUUUGAAAUCUGUGACUUGUAAUAACUGUAAUUUGGCAGUUAAAUUUAGUCAAACUACUGGUUGUUCUGUGAACCAGUAUGAAUUGGCAAACCAAAUGCAAAUCCCUGGUGGUGUAUCGGUAACACAUUCACCUUCAUGGUGGAAAUACCAGGUUCGAACCCUGGCCAGGGUUGAAUGAUUGGUUUGCCCUAAACAUUGUUGUUUUUCAACUUAUCUAUCUGUUUGUCUGUCUGUCGUCUGUAUUUUAUUUGAUUAUGACAUAAUAUAAUAAAGAUUAGCACUUCCGGUUGCGGUGAGUGCA